UACGUAGGGGGCUAGCGUUGUCCGGAAUCAUUGGGCGUAAAGAGCGUGUAGGCGGUCCGGUAAGUCCGUUGUGAAAGUCAGGGGCUCAACCCUUGAAUGCCGGCGGAUACUGUCGGGCUAGAGUCCGGAAGAGGCGAGUGGAAUUCCCGGUGUAGCGGUGAAAUGCGCAGAUAUCAGGAGGAACACCAAUUGCGAAGGCAGCUCGCUGGGACGUUACUGACGCUGAGACGCGAAAGCGUGGGGAGCAAACAGG
rnacentral:rRNA from 1 species